GAUUCCACGCGCGCCUCUCGUUCCUUUUGACUCCUCCCCCCGAGGUCUGGUUGGCAGCAGCAGCAGCAAAUAGGAAGAGCGGUUCUAUUUCUCUCUUUCGGCUUCAUCCUAGUCACCAGUAUUGCCAUUGGCCGGCGACAAUUCAGGAAUUCCCCUCCUCCCUCUUCCCUUCAGGAGAUUAUGGCUGUGAGAGAGUGCCUGUUGUAAGAUCAUCCAGUGAGCAUGAACGGAAAAGAUUUGAAAUGCAGCUUCUCUGGCGCCUGGUUCCACAAUCUGUGCUAUCUGUUAACCAGCUUGGAUUGAUCAGUUGCACAUCAGAGCACAUGAAGGAAGCAGCAAGUCACCUCCUUCCCUGUCUUGCCUGGGACUCAGCUACAACUGAGGACCCCUCCCUUUAUGGCAGCGAUGGUGAAGUGGUUAAAAGUGUCAGACUAGGACUGAAGAGAUGUGGGUUUAAAUCCCCACACAAUAACCCUGUCUCAACCUAACCUACUUCACAGGGUUCUUGUGAGGCUAAAAUGGAGCACAUAUGCCAUCCUGUGCUCUUUGUAGGGUGGGAUCAAACUAUGAUGGUGGUAUCAUUUUCCCACUGGGUAACUAAAAAGGUUGAAGGGAUUAAAAAAGGGGGGAAAGAACCCUUACACAUUUAAGUACCAAGACCAACGCCCAAAGAUAAGUACCAAAAUCUUUAAUAAAUUCCAAGAAUUAAAAACAUUUGAGUAAAACCAUA